rnacentral:rRNA from 1 species
GACGAACGCUGGCGGUGUGCUUAACACAUGCAAGUCGAACGGUAAGGCCCUUUCGGGGGUCCACGAGUGGCGAACGGGUGCGUAACACGUGAGUAACCUGCCCUCAUCUCUGGGAUAACAGUCGGAAACGGUUGCUAAUACUGGAUAUGAGCUUGCAAGGCAUCUUGUGGGUUGGAAAGAUUUUUUUGGUUGGGGAUGGACUCGCGGCCUAUCAGCUUGUUGGUGAGGUAGUGGCUCACCAAGGCUUCGACGGGCAGCCGGCCUGAGAGGGCGACCGGCCACAUUGGGACUGAGAUACGGCCCAAACUCCUACGGGAGGCAGCAGUGGGGAAUAUUGCACAAUGACGGAAGUCUGAUGCAGCAACGCCGCGUGCGGGAUGACGGCCUUCGGGUUGUAAACCGCUUUCAAUUGUGACGAAGCUUUUUGUGACGGUAGCAGUAGAAGAAGCACCGGCUAACUACGU